AUUGAACGCUGGCGGCAGGCCUAACACAUGCAAGUCGAACGAGUGGCGGACGGGUGAGUACUGUCUGGGAAACUGCCCGAUGGAGGGGGAUAACUACUGGAAACGGUAGCUAAUACCGCAUACCAUCGGAUGUGCCCAGGUUGGAUUAGCUAGUCGGUGGGGUAAUGGCUCACCUAGGCGACGAUCCCUAGCAGGUCUGAGAGGAUGACCAGCCACACUGGAACUGAGACACGGUCCAGACUCCUACGGGAGGCAGCAGUGGGGAAUAUUGCACAAUUGGCGCAAGCCUGAUGCAGCCAUGCCGCGUGUAUGAAGAAGGCCUUCGGGUUGUAAAGUACUUUCAUCGGGGAGGCGUUACCCGCAGAAGAAGCACCGGCUAACUCCGUGCCAGCCGCCGCGGUAAUUC
rnacentral:rRNA from 1 species